GCUUUUCACCACACAGUACUGUUUUCGUUCGUUCCGCGUUUAUUGUUUUUGUAUUCAGUUGUGUUGAUGUUCUUAUUAAAAAGAACCAUGGACACUUACCACGCCGCAUAUUGGUCCUCCGAUCCUUCUCGCCUCUCCUCUUCAGAUGAAGAGGAGGAAAACCAUUACAUUAGUCAGGCAAAUGCAGCCUCAGGACACUUCAGCAUGCAGUCUGCUCAGGAAUCCAUCUUCCUACUUUUCAUGACCUACGGAGAAGCAACGAACAUGCAUAUCAAAGAAUAUCUCAAAGAGUAGCACAAGGUUGGGAUUACAUUAGGCUUUUCCAGAAGCACUAAAUGCUAUUUUCCUUUAAUUUAGCAUGAUCUCUUAAGUUAUGUUUGCAUUAUGGACUCUCACAUGUUAAACGUAUACCCCUUGACAAAAUUAGCGUGGAACAUCAUUAGUCAUCUCCAGAACUAACACUGCUUUGUCCUCUCAUGUUAUGCUGCCUGCAUGCUGAGAACGGGCCUCACCUGGCGAACCUCUGUUCAACAUUGAUGCUGGCAGCCAAUGACAAGAUACUGGAAUUCAUCACUGCUCUGGUUCCUUCGUCAGCGCUGAGGGCUAGCUCUAAGGCAUGGGCUGUCCAAUUUUGCUUCUCAGUUGACUUUGGCUUCACACUGAUCCUCUGCUGAAACGAUUCUGAGAUUGUGAAACCCAAAUGAGUUCCUGCAGUAUUGAUAUAUGUGACCCACCACCUGGAUUCAGUCCUAUUUAGCAUUUUUUAAAUUUAUUUUAAAUUUUUAAAUUUGAUAAAAGUAGAGACUCCACGCUAUAAAACGAUACACUGCAAUUGAGGAACAAUGAAGUAAUUCUGCUUUGAAAGUUGAUAAACUUGUAACCGCACUUU